UACAAGAGCUCCCAAAAUUGAACAUCACCGAUGUUCAUCGGAUUUGCAGAGUGACGACUACCCCCGCCAGCAAAUUAGAUAAAGGAUUUAAGUUAUAUGCUGCAUCAUAUAUACACAACUACGAAGUGUCCAAUAAAGACAGGUUGUCAGGGGAGGUCGGUGUGAGAGCCCUGUGCUACAGGUCGAUGAGGAAGAGUGAGGCACCACACAGACUAAGUAUUAAGCUUCUGGAUUCAUCGCCGGUGAUACUGACACAUAGCCAGGGCUCCUGUGUGGCAGGCGCUGUUAUGUGCAAUCACACAGUGGCACUGCUCUUCCAAACAGCACACUACUCACAACUCAGAGUGCCGGUUGUCCCCCCUGUGCAUAGCUGCACGGAAUCUGAACAGCAAUGGCACAAGCCACGGACAGUGGGUGUGAGGCCAGGACCCAUCAACUCCAUGAUCUUCACUAAGCCGGUACCAAAUAGGAUGGCCCAGACUGGAGUACGGAGUGGCUUCUACAGAGGCAUGGUGGGUCCGUUACCAGAUCCCUGCUUGUUCAGAAUAACGGAGGCAUAUGCAAAAUUUAAUAUUGAGGACAGGCCACUUGUGACCACAAUGAACAUGAGACCUGACAAGCCCCUUGUGGAAAGUGCCUUUGGGCUGGUGCAGGAGGGCAGUGUUCUGUCAUAUCAGCAGCCGGUUUUGACAACCCGGUACAUCACACUACACCGCGAUGCACCACCAACACCGCACUUGCCUCUGGAGGGGUAUGAC
ensembl:lncRNA